CUGACUACCUGAGGGCUUCAUAGGUUUUCUGAAGGAAAUCUGUCCUUUCUCCAUCUGAGAUGGCUAUGUCGAUGUAGAAUCAUAGAAUAUUCUAGUCUGGACCCCCAGGGAUCAUCAAGUCCAGCUCCUGAUUCCAGAAAGUACCUCCCAAAAAUCAAAGUGUGUGUCUGAGAGUGUUGUCUUCUAUGAGAAGAGACCCCCAUCAGUGUUGUUCUGGGAAGGUCAUGCCAGAUGUUUGCAGUAAUAAAUGGAGCCUAUGAAUCUUAAUACAGACACAGGAAUCUGCGGUGUGGACUUCUACGGCUGAAGGAAAUGAAUCCUGAUGAAAGUACACCAAUAAUAAGAAGUUAGCAGAGAAUUUUCCAAACAGAACAUUUAUCAUGUCUACAGUAAUGAUACACAGUGGUCCAAGGAGGUUGUAGAACUGCUAAAAAGAUUCAAGAUUAUAAUACCAUUUUCCCACUGGAAAGGGGAUUGUUGGAAAAAACAUCUGCUUAGAAAAGACCAAAUUGUCACCUUUCUCAUCAUCACAUUAGUGCUGUUUUUUGUUUGCAGCUGCACAAUCUCAAAAUGUUGUCUGCCAAAUUGCUGUACUUUUGGCUUAUUCUUUUGGUUUAGAGAUUGGGAUUUAAAGGUGUAAUUAUUAAACUAGUGGGAAGCAUUGUUUUAAUAGAAGACACAUAGUAUUUACUGCAUGUUGUCAGGUUUGAUAAUCCUGGCAAGCAAAAGACUUCUCACUUUUCAAGUAAUAACUUGAAUACAUUUAUCUUCUUAAUAAGGCCCUCAAAUACUGUACCAUGUUUCCAAGCUCCUCCAUUGCAGUGAUGACGUGUAUAGGAAGGAGAACUAUGGUAGGUACUGUGCAGUUACUCUACGUUUAAAAAUGGUUGUGAGGGAUUUCUAGGACUUUUGUACCCUGAAACAUAGGAAGCUUCAUAUUUUGAAACAUCUCUCCCCUUCCUGCUGCACCUGAGAAUGGCUCCUUGUUUGAAUCUCCCUUGAACUGUCCAGAUUUUUUUUAUGUUAUCUUGGAGCUGACUGUCAUAGUGAGCCAAUAAUUAAGUGGGUGAUGUAUAACUACACAAGAAGAGGGUCGAUCUUGUAUUCACUUUCUAUGAAACCCUGAUGAAUUUAAGGCCCAGAGAGAAUCUUUAUCAUCUUCAACUCUUCUGGCCCCUAAAUCCUGUCUGACAUGCUACAGUGGAGGGUGAGUAAGCAAGGUUUUCUGCAGUACUAACACUAAUUUGUUAAUAGAAUACCAAUUAUUCCAUUAUCUUAUUUGUUCUAUUUUGAAUCCUACAAAACUCAUUUAUAUAAGACAGCUACUGAUUAACAUAAUGCUACAGCAUGAAGCAGUAGAAAUGCCACAAUAAAUAUUUGCUUAAUGUGUUUUUGUAAUACAUAUAACUGUUUUUAGAAAGGCAGACUGAUUACAUUAAUUUUUGUUGGAAAGUAUUAAAGUAUAGACAAUCUUAUUAGUGUAAUGAACCUAAGCUUAUAGCUGAUGUUACAUGACAGGGAAGGCGAGGUUAUUGGGAAGACUUUGUGUGCAUAUAUGGUGCAAGUUAUCCUUAAGUACAAAUGAAGAGAUAAAUUUGUUAAGUAUGUAUGUUUUACAGGCUUGAAGAAGUUUUUUUCUUUUAAUUAAUUUGCUGGACUUCACUGAUUUUUACCAAUCAGUUAAGUAUCUCAUGAAAAUGUUUGGAAUAACUUAUUUUAAAAUGACCUUUUCAGUAACAAGCCGAGUAAGCUCAAGUACCAAAAUACCAUCUUCCUGUACAUGAUCCUGCUUGCAGCAUAGAAGAACUAACCCUGUAUCUUGAAAAAUCAUCCUCAUUAGGAC